rnacentral:rRNA from 1 species
UGGACGGGCCUGGCGCCGGACGUGGCCCGUGACAUCGCCGGACGGCUGCACGACGCUGCCGACUUCGUCCGCUUCCAUGCCGUGUGCAAGCCAUGGCGUGACUCACGGGACGUGCAGUCGCCGCUGUUUCGGACACCGACGAACCAGUUGCUGCCAUGGCUCCUCGCGGUUCCCGCCGAUGACUCAACCCCAAUCUACUUUAGAUGCAUCUUCUCCAAGUCCAGCUACCGCACAGAGCGGCCACGACCGCCGUUCACGGCCCGAAGGAUCUGGGUGUGCAACGCGGACGCCACCGCCGUUCGGUACCUCACGGUCGAACACCUAUGCCCUAGCCUUCAUGACCCCCUCACGGGAGAAGUCACCCAGAUGGCUUGUUUCCCGUAUAACUUCCUCGACGAGUGGGACAAGGACAAUCGCGAAGGUGUUCUCUAUGGCGAUGGUACCAUCCUACUAUAUAACAUCCUCUAUGGCGUUGGCAUCUAUGGCAACAGAGCCAUCUUCAAGGCAGCACUCCUACGUUCCGGUGAUACAAAGUGGACGCUCGUCGAAAGAACCCUUGACAAGCCCCGUGAACACGGUGAGUUCUGCGCCGCGUACCAUGGCGGGAAGAUCCUUGUCAUAGUGAGGUCUAGCCUCUGUCGCGUCAUCACACCAGAGGUCAAUGUCGCCCGCGAUGUGCUAGUCCCAAUGACGUGCAACGACCAUAUGUCCUCCUACAACUACAUCCUGGAGUCCCGCGGCGAGCUACUAUGGGUGUCAGUUUAUACCAAAAUCCUAGAAGGCAUAGGUCUAUUUCGUCCGCUCUCAGUGUUUGUGCAUGCCCUAGAGGAGGAGGCGUCCACGCCGGGGAAGAUGAUGUGGGUGAGAAAAGACGAUAGUUGUUUGGCUGACCGUGUGCUGUUUUUAGGGUCACCUAGUAGCUUGGCCAUAGACGCCUCGCGACUCGGUAUCAAAGGCGGGUAUGUCUUCUUCAACUACUACACUUGGUUAUCGGGAGUCCAUAAGCAGUUUUGCAUGUACAAGUACGAUCUUCUGAACGAUAAGGCCGAGUUCGUGGAGCGGCUGCCAAAAGGAUGGGACGAAGGCAAGUGCUCAUGGCUAGUCCCCCAACCCGCUAUUGCUCCAAUUCAGCAACAACAAGAGCCAGCUCCACUUACUGAUCCAACACGUAUUACUCACAUAUUCAGACAUCGCGAGCCUCGUUUCAGGGUGUUAGUGCGUAAUUUGCCUCUCACGGUGGAUAGCUCUCAACUGGAAGUUUUUUUCAGCAAGCACGGCAAAGUGUCUAGAGCAGAGGUACUCUACCACAAGAAGACAUGGUGCUCCCGUGGUUAUGGUUUCGUAACCAUGUCGACGAGGCAUGCUAAUCUGAAUGAUGCUCUAGAUGCUUUCAGUGGAAUGCUUUUGGAUGGCCACACUCUUGAGGUUAUCUUUGACGAGGAGGAACGGCCA